rnacentral:rRNA from 1 species
AAUCAACGCUGGCGGCGUGCCUAAUACAUGCAAGUCGAACGCGAAAGCCCCUUCGGGGGUAAGUAGAGUGGCGUCCGGGUGAGUAACACGUAGGUAAUCUACCUUCGGGUGGGGAAUAACCAGUCGAAAGAUUGGCUAAUACCGCAUAAUGCAGCGGCACCUAAUGGUGAUUAGUUGUUAAAGCGGGGGAUCGUAAGACCUCGCGCCUGAAGAGGAGCCUGCGGCAGAUUAGCUAGUUGGGAGGUAAUGGCUCACCAAGGCUUCGAUCUGUAGCUGGUCUGAGAGGACGGCCAGCCACACUGGCACUGACACACGGGCCAGACUCCUACGGGAGGCAGCAGUGGGGAAUUUUGGGCAAUGGGCGAAAGCCUGACCCAGCAACGCCGCGUGAGGGAGGAAAUCCUUCGGGAUGUAAACCUCACAAGCAAGGGAAGAGAGCUCAGGGCCGAAUAAGCUUUGAGUCCGACGGUACCUUGCGUAAGCCACGGCUAACUACGUGCCAGCCGCC